rnacentral:rRNA from 1 species
AUUGAACGCUGGCGGCAUGCUUUACACAUGCAAGUCGAACGGUAACAGGCCGCAAGGUGCUGACGAGUGGCGAACGGGUGAGUAAUGCAUCGGAACGUGCCCAGUCGUGGGGGUUAACUACUCGAAAGAGUAGCUAAUACCGCAUACGAUCUAUGGAUGAAAGCGGGGGACCGUAAGGCCUCGCGCGAUUGGAGCGGCCGAUGUCAGAUUAGGUAGUUGGUGGGGUAAAGGCCCACCAAGCCAACGAUCUGUAGCUGGUCUGAGAGGACGACCAGCCACACUGGGACUGAGACACGGCCCAGACUCCUACGGGAGGCAGCAGUGGGGAAUUUUGGACAAUGGGCGCAAGCCUGAUCCAGCAAUGCCGCGUGCAGGAAGAAGGCCUUCGGGUUGUAAACUGCUUUUGUACGGAACGAAACGGCUCUGGUUAAUACCCGGGGCUAAUGACGGUACCGUAAGAAUAAGCACCGGCUAACUACGUG